GAUCUCGGGACGGGGAGAGCGGUCCGCCUCUUUUGGUGUGCACUGAUGCUCUCCGUCCUUUCUGUCGGGGACGCGCUCCUGGCCUUGAUUGGCUGGGACGCGGAGUCGACGAUGUUACUUUGAAAAAAUUAGAGUGCUCAAAGCAAGCCUAUGCUCUGAAUACAUUAGCAUGGAAUAACGCGAUAGGACUCUGGUCCUGUUCCGUUGGUCUUCGGGACCGGAGUAAUGAUUAAUAGGGACGGUUGGGGGCAUUCGUAUUUCAUUGUCAGAGGUGAAAUUCUUGGAUUUAUGAAAGACGAACUUCUGCGAAAGCAUUUGCCAAGGAUGUUUUCAUUAAUCAAGAACGAAAGUUGGGGGCUCGAAGACGAUCAGAUACCGUCCUAGUCUCAACCAUAAACGAUGCCGACUAGGGAUUCGCGGGUGUUAAUUUGAUGACCCCKCGAGCWCCUUAUGAGAAANCAAUAAUAUUUUGGGUUCCUGGGGGAGUNAUGGUCGCUWGGCUGAAACUUAAAAGG
rnacentral:rRNA from 1 species